CCUCUUAGGGUUUCGACUUCGAUUCGUUUUGGAUUUUAGGGUUUUGUUGGGAUAUUGAUUUGGGGGUUUUGCUAAUCUUCUUUGAAAUUAGAUUGGGGCAUUAGGGAUUUGUUGAUUUACAGGUUGGAAGUGACUGAAAUGGAAUUGAAUUUUACUCAGGUUUAGGGAUCUGGUACUGGGUUUUUGGAUUACCUUAUUGGUUUAUUCUUGAAUUCGAUUUGGGUGUUUAUUAGCUAUAACCUUUGAAUAAAAUUUGCUUAAACUUUAUGGGUGUUCUUCAAAUUGUUUUGAGCUGGACUCCGAUUCGUCGUCGUUGUACUGUCUCCAGCUCUGAAGCCGUCUCUGCUCACUAUACCCAGAAGACAACACCUUGAGUAUGAGUAACAAAUGGACGUAACAGAUUACAGGGCUGGAAGAACAGUAGUGGAUCCUUCGGAGAGAUCUACUUAGGUCCGCACAAAAGGCUGGAGUUUUUGCUGCAUCAAUCUGCGAACAAGUCCUAUGCAGAUUGUGGAUCUUCAGAUCCAAAAUGGGUGCAAGUGUGGCUAUGCCUUUUUCUGUCUACUGUCAAUAUAUUUUAUUUUUACAAGCUUCUUUUUCUUCGUAGCAAUUCUACUUUUGGCUUUAAAUAUAUAUCAAAGUAUGUCUAUAUCACAAUGUGGGUGGUGUAAAUUGACAAAGGUUUGAGAUGUCUAUAUCAUAUUGCUUUGGAGCGAGUCUGUGAUGCAUGUUUUCAAUUCUGGACUCCAAGCGGUUUGUGAGGCGGACAAAAGGCUCAGGGUCUGCCGUCGAUGGAUCCUCGGGAUUGCUACGCAGGGGAGAGGACCGUGAACGAGGUUGAGUGUGGGUUCGUUGGCAGAUUUGGGCUGGGAUGAGAGGAAGUAGAAGGCGGGGGAGGGGUGUUAUGUGAUUGUAAUAUGGAUAGCUUCUCUGUUCAAAAUUCUCCAUGGUUCAUACUCACCUUCCAAGGGCGCUAUCUUGGAUGAUUAUAAUAAUGGUGGGUGUUCUGCACGAGCGUUUGUAUUUUACAGUGUUUUUUUUUUUUUUUACUAUUGGUUUAGUAUAAUGUGUUGUUGAUAUCAAGUGGUAGUGCCAAGAAGAGAACUGCAUUGCUGGUUGUUGGCCACCCAGAUGAUGAGUCCAUAUUGCUUUGACUAUUUCAUGUCAAUUUUACUGGGAGAGAACAGCUUGCAGAUCGCCAUGUCAGUUCCAUAUAUAUAUAUAUAUGGUAGAUGAAUAGUUUUAAGGAACUUCUUUUGUCCCUAUAGAUAGAGCUAGUCACUAUAGGAUUAUACUUAAACCUAGCUAGUUUUUUUGUGCCUUCAUCGAUCAUACUUGAACCUAGUUUAGUAUUAGGGAACUGAUGGGAUUGAUCGCUAUAUGUAUUCAUGUAUUUUGGUGGAGACAAUGACAAAUAUGGCUUCAU